UUCCCCAGGCGCCUGCGCCUGACCGGCUUCCCGGCGCCAUUUUGUCCCGGCAGCAGCAGCCCGCAGCUCUAGCCCAUUUUCUGCGUCUAGAGGGAAGGAAGCGGACCCUAUCCGGUAGGUCUGUUUCAGUGCGGCACCGGUUUGCCCUUCACCCCGGGACAACGCCUAGCGAAGGGCGGAGGAGUCGCGGAGUCGUCCGAAAGAGUUGUGCUGAAGACAACAGACACCUACCUCCAUGACAGCCCAAAGUAUCACAGAGGAGGUGAAAUGCUAUGCAGUCAUUCAGAGUUAAUUAAGAUCAGGUCUGAGCCUGGAAGACCUCCAGAAAAUCUUAGCUGCUGAUGAGGAAAAAGAGACCCAGAAGAACAAGAAAACAGGUGACUCUCGUGCUGGUCUCCUUGUGUGGGAGCAGCUCAGGAGGCCGGCUGAGACAUGACUGUCUGUAGUAGCCAGCCAUCCUUUGAUACUUCAUGAAUGGGGAUCUAUAAGACCCUAUUACGGUUUGCUUAUGCAGUCCAAGCAAAGAGCAGAGACUCAUCUUUAGCUGAUUUGUGCACACUGCACAUUCCUUUCAUGUGUUACUGCAGAAACGUCCCUACAGUGUUACCAGAGCUGGGGCAGGAAGUAAGGGUGGAAUUCCUUAUCAGGCAAGGAUGCAGACUGAUGCAGAAGGAAGCAGGAGGAAGGCGGAGCUGAGAGCAGGCAGUGAGCCACGUGGAGACAUGGGAUGGUGGAGGAGUCAGGAGAACUUAGUAGCUAGCUGAGAUUGUUCAGCAAAAGACCAACAGCUUUAAUUUUCUACAAAAGUCAAAAUUAUCAAAAUUUAAUAACUGUGGAAAUAAACUAUUUUGAAAGAAUAGUUCAUACAUUUCAUUGAGAAUGUAAUUAGCUGGCCUGUUUGGUAUGGUUUAUUGAAAAAAUAGAGAUUUUUUUUAAUGCUUGUUUUCCCCUUUUUUAAACAUUAUUUCAGGGGCUAGUGGGCAUGUGCCACAGUACAGUGGGUGGAGUUGUAAGGACAGCUGUGGUCCUCUCCAUCUACCGAGUAGGCUCCGACCUCAGUCUCAGGUCAUCAGCCUAGCAGCCAGCCCCUUCCCUACGGUCAUCUCCUCAUUUCUGGACUUUCCUUCUUCUAAACACAUCUGUGUGGUUCCGUUUUCUGGGUUGCUCGGACUUUUUUUUGAGAUAGGGUUUCACUUUUCUGGGCUCAAUUUUUGAAUAAGUUUCUAUUUUUAUUAUAGAAAACUGAAUAAUAUGUUUUGCGUCUUUGAGGUAAAACAUGGCUCAAAAUUAAAAGAAGUCUGUCUUUCAGAAUGACAUUGACUUUUGUUGUGGGAAAAAGAACCAAAGUGCUUCAGUUCUAAAAGACGUAAGAUUUGCUACUUGUACUGAACACUUUGGUUCUGUUCCGUAAUUUUAUAUCACCCUUCAGUAAGUGAGAUUGGCCAUGCUAUGUAUGUAUGCCUGUGCAUACAUGAGGAUUUGUUGAGAAGUAGAAUUGAGGGGUUUUUGAUGGGAUUAGAUAAUUGCAAUCAAACUUUUAUUUUGGGUACCAGGGAUAUAGGUCUUGAUUGUAAGAGUCCUUUACCAGAUAUAUACAAGGAUCUAGGUUCAAAAACCAGAACCAAUUUUGUUCUUAAUAUUUAAAGCAUAAUCUAUGGUGUAUGUGUGGAUGUCGAUACGAUUUUUUUCUUUGCCCUGUUGGAUCUUGUUGUUUUCGGGACCACAUGAACAAUGGUUUUCAUUCACUCGUAAUUCAAAUUAGAAGGACAGCAUAUUUCAGGAUCUGGAUUAAGGUAGAUCUGGGUUAUUUAAUGACAUUCCUCCAAAGAUGUAUGCCUAGGGAGCUGAGUGUGAGUAAGAUAUGGAACGUGAUUAAGCAUAGAAAGUUAAUAUAAAUACUUGAAGGGACUUGAAUAAUUGGAUUUGUUUGUUUGUUUGUUUUAGUUUUCGAGACAGACAAGUAAGCUGUCUUGGAGUCCCUCUGUAGAUUAGCCUCAAGCCCAGAGCUUCUCCUGCCCUUGCCUCUCCAGUGCUGAGAUUAAAGGCAAGAACCAUCAUAAAAGGAACAUUAAGCAAGCAGAACAGAGGGCUUGUUAUAGCUGGCUUAUAAUGCAUGUGAGUGUAUACACAAGAUCCUCAACCGUAUUUUCAGUACUGUGAAACUGGUCAAAGAAAAAGACAGGGAAAAUGAUGUUAGUGUAUGAAGGCCUUUAGGGAUAAUGAUCUUAAGUCAUUCAAGUUAAGUGGAACGUUGUGACUAAAAAUGAUUGAGAAAAGCUGUUUCACCUAGGAAACUCACUGAGAAAGGAUGCCUAGCAAAAGAUGAGAUCAGAGAAGCUCAGCGGCCUGUGUUGUCAGGAGCUGCUGGGGUCAGCCGUGCACUGCAAUCAUAGUGCACACUUGCCCUCUGUAGAUUUUUAGAUGGCUUUGAGUCUGAGGUAUGAACAUAAAUUAAAGGUGAGUCUUAUUUUUUAUUGUUGACUUUUGUUUUGAGAUAUGGUUUCACUAUUUAAUAGCUUUGACUGGCCUGGAACUCACUAUUGUAGACCACGCUAGCCUCUAAUUUACAGAAAUCCAGCUGCUUCUGCUCGUAAAUGCAGGGAUGUAAAGCAUUGGUCAUCAUACCCAUCUUAAGAUAUAUAUUUUUUGGCUUAUUUUCUCAGCUUUAUAAGUUAUACACAUUUUCUCUAAUCCUUCAUUAGCCUUUUUUUGUCUGGGUAUUUUUGUUUUUGUUUUGAGACAGGGUCUGGCAUUGUUGCCUUAGUUUCCCUGUGGCCCUAGUGCUAGAGUUACAGGUAUGAUCCACUGUAUCUGUCUUGCUUUUUUAUUAUUUUGUUUUUCUUUUUCAUUUUUUUUUAUUCUACUGAUCCUCAUUUCUAUUUUGAUGUAUUCUAUUGUCUGCCUAUGUCAAGGAUUUUUCUCUCCCAUCCAGUGACUUGACUUGGGUAUGAGUAUGAGGGCACACUUCAGGGACUGUACAUCCCCUCUGUCAGGCAGUAACUGUAUAAAUACUGUGAGGAGAAGUGACGCCCCAUAAGACGCUGUCCCUCCUAGCAAGAUGUUGACAGACCCUAUCUUGUUCACAGCUUGAGUAGAGGAUGUCACAGCUACUGCAGCGCAGGUCAGUGUUUCAUACGUCUUGGCUUCCUCUGGUUCUUACAUUCCUUUUUGCCUCUUCUGUCAUGUACCUGAGCCUUGAAGUGGGUUAUAUAAAUGUCCUGUUGACAGAGCACUCAACAGUCACAUACUCUCAGCAUUUGCUUAGCAAGACUUCCCAAAGACCUUGGAGGAAGAAUAAGGACCACUUUGUGGUCUAGUCUCUGCCAAAAUGCUUAUCUGUGACCUUGCUUCCUCUACAUUCUAGGACUUGUAGAAUCCCACCGUAUAGUUUUAAAAUAGCCAAUGAAAUUAUAUGUUGCCAUGUAUGGGAAACAAACAAAAAUCAUAUAAAAGGCUGUAAACAGUUCAAUAUAGUCUGUGCUACCACAAAUAAAAGUUGUUUUCUUAAAAUA